rnacentral:rRNA from 1 species
UACGAAGGGGGCUAGCGUUGCUCGGAAUCAUUGGGCGUAAAGAGCGCGUAGGCGGCCCGAUAAGUCCGCUGUGAAAGUCAAGGGCUCAACCCUUGAAUGCCGGUGGAUACUGUCGGGCUAGAGUCCGGAAGAGGCGAGUGGAAUUCCUGGUGUAGCGGUGAAAUGCGUAGAGAUCCGGAGGAAUACCAGUGGCGAAGGCGGCACGCUGGGCCAUAACUGACGCUAAGACUCGAAAGCAUGGUAGCGAACGGG